rnacentral:ncRNA from 2 species
GACCAUAUCGCCCGUGCUGGUGCCUGUGCUAACAGGUGAAAAGGGAAUGCGCGAGGCCCCGGGCGGGACCGAACCGCAGCCGCCCCCGCGACCGUGACCGGAAAGGGCGUCCAUCGGCCACUGACCCUAUCCGGGGUUGGGAAGGCCGGACGACCGCCGGGGACCGCCGAAAGGCGCGUCCCCAAGAUCCGCAAGCCGGGAAACCUGCCAGCGCGACGAAUGAAUC